rnacentral:rRNA from 1 species
UAUGGCCACAUCACAUUGAAACACCAGUUCCUAUAUGAUCACUGAAGUUAAGCAACAUUGAGCCUGGUCAGUACCUAGAUGGGUGACUAAUUGGGAGUACCAGGUGCUGUAAG